ensembl:rRNA 5S_rRNA 5S ribosomal RNA
AGCCAAAGCUAUAUCACCCUGCAGCACAAGACAAGUUACUCACUGAAGCUAAGCAGGGCUGAGCCUGGUCAGUACCUGGAUGGGAGACCACAUGGGGAAAACUUGGUUGCUGUUGUAA